AAACACUGACCCAUUAAUUUGGUUCAUUUUUUCCUAGAUUGGCCUGGGCAGGUUUUAAUCACCUCAGCAAAGAAGAUUAUUCCUUGCUUCUGUCUUGGAGCAGAACACAUUCAGAUCUGUAGAUCCCUGGAAAGCAUUUAGUCAGAAGGAGAGCCAUCACAGCACUAUUAACAAGAGGGGAAAAAAAGAAGUGGAAACAAUCUAAGCUUCCCAAAUUGGACAGUGUUAUUUUAAAUGCUAGAUAGACAUUUAAGAUAAUGUUGCAGACAUAUUUAUUGACAAACUUAUUUAUGAUUGUUAAUUGAAAAAAAUUAAAUCUAAGCACAGUGUAAUCUCAUUUUUGCAAGAAACAAAAAAAGAUUAUCUCUUUGUAGAGAAAAGCUGGAGGAAGUUGUAUGUCAAAUGCAGACAGAAGUUGUCAUCUGGUGGUGGGUGAGUUCUUUUUA
rnacentral:lncRNA from 1 species